UUAUCUUUAGCUAUUUGAUUGAUUAAACAUUAUUUAGAAAUAUCCAAACAAACAGUGUACAAAAAGGAACAAAUGAACACGUUUCAAACUCCCAUUUUAGUAGGAAGACACCUGAUUACUUGAAGGACAUGUCACUAGAAUCAAAUACUAUGGGGUACACAAUUUGCUCAAAGUUAUUAACAACAAAUCUAACAAAGGGGUAGUUACUUCAGCCUUGCAACCAUUACGAAUCAUGAACAGUGCUUAACCUACACAUUAUCUUUCUAUAGCCAUGAACAAAUUCUACAAGUUCCAUACUCAAGAAUGAUUACAAUUAAUCAACAAAAUAAUCAAUUGGAAAAUACAGAGCUUCUAGUUCCGUGAUUAUCCAAAACUCCUUCAUAUAUUACUUUCUCGAAUCAUCAACAUCAACAUCAUGGCUUCCCCCAACAUACACUGGCCAAGCAUGUUCAAGUCCAAACCUUACAAUCAGUGGCAGCAUGAAACAGGGAAACUCUUGAUAAAGCCAUCUCCGGAGUACUUUUUGCCACUGCUGAGAUUGCAGUUUUUCAAGGAUGUCUCACUUAGCUUUUAUUUAGACUAUGCAGAACACAUUGCGUCAAAUGAAAUUCUGGAAGAUGUGCCUGGCCAUAAUGCAUAUCUUAAUGGGAUAAGCGUCAUUAGUGGAAUGGCAUUGUUCCCAUCAGCUUUAGAGCAAGAGGACCAGCACUCUGAAAAACUUCUGCAAGUACAUAACUGAAAGUCCACAUAGGUUAACAUCAAGUCAGGAGAUAAAGGGUCGCGACCCAGAGCACCUAUUCUAUUUCAGUUGCACAGUUAUAAAGAACAAUCAAAUGUGAAUCAGCAUAAUUCCCAAAUAAAAGUAGGCACUCAACAGGUAAAAGACAACAUCAUUGGCAUUUUAGUUACAAUAAGCAUGAAUGGCAGCAAUGAUGAGACACCUUAAAGGAAUAACCAGUGCAAGGGAGCAUUCUAAACAGUCAACUAAGAGUCAUACAUGAUGAGGCAAUGAAAUAGAUGAGAAUCAGAAUUACCAUCUCUUCACAGGUAAAAGACAACAUCAUCCGAAUCCGAGCUACCGUGAAGGUUGAGGUCUUCAUCGAUGAGUACCAUCACCAAACACCACAAUAACCCGUAUGAACCACCGAAGAAGAGAAGAUGAGGAUUUCGUUCGAUGCAUCUCGAGAAAGAAGGGAUUCCCUUCAUUGGUCCACUCCAACACGGGUUGGAGGGUCUUUCCGGGCUAGAUUCGUGAAGAGAUGCACAAGGAGAGGGAGAUGCGUGAUCAGGGAUUCUAUUCCCAUUUUCUUUCUCUGGUUAGUGGGUUAAAGGUGGAGGGGUUCAACUUUUCUUUGUUUCAUUAUGCCAUCUAUGCAAUUUUCUUGGAAUGUAUCUCAUAAUCAUUAUAAUGACUGUAUAUUCCAACUUUAAUUAACUAGCUCUUUUAUCACUAAAUUCAACCAUCAAUUCCAUAUAAACUAUUUUAAUUAAUAAGACUAUUUUGUUACUAAACUCUAUAUGUAUAAAUAAUAAGAUAUUAUCAAUUUAAUCAUGGAAUUUUUAUAGUAAGGUUAUGGUUCGAGUUGUCUCUAACUUCUCCGAGAAUGAGAAGAAGGUCUACAACCAACACCGUCUCUAAACUAUUAAUUCUAUAUGUAUAAUUAAUAAACUGUUUUAUCACCUAGAUUCUAUGUGUGCGAAUAGUUAGAAACUAUGUUAUCAAAUUAAUCAUGGAAUUUUUAUAGUAAGGUUAUGGUUCGAGUUGUCUCU
rnacentral:lncRNA from 1 species